rnacentral:miRNA from 1 species
UAUAUAUAUAGAGAGAGAGAGAGAGAGAGAGAGAGAGAGAGAGAGAGUUGCGAAGAAAGCCAUGUAACUCCUUUUUUAUUGAAAGCUGUGAUAUUAUCUCUCUUCCCUUGCUCUCUCUCUCUCUCUCUCUCUCUCUCUCUCUCUCU